rnacentral:rRNA from 1 species
GCCAACGGCCAUACCACGUUGAACACACCAGUUCUCGUCCGAUCCACUGAACGUCGGGCCCGGUUAGUACUUGGAUGGGUGACCGCCUGGGAACCCCCGGGUGCUGUUGGUA